CUCGAGUCAAUAUUUUUUCCCAGUUUUUUGUGGUAAAAUUAGGUACCUCUGCUUAUAUUCGGGACGGCUUAUACUGCAGUAUAUACGGUAUUAUUAUAUUUCAAGA